rnacentral:rRNA from 1 species
AUUGAACGCUGGCGGCAUGCCUAACACAUGCAAGUCGAACGAGACCUUCGGGUCUAGUGGCGCACGGGUGCGUAACGCGUGGGAAUCUGCCCUUGGGUUCGGGAUAACAGUUGGAAACGA